rnacentral:lncRNA from 1 species
GGGGGGAUGGUGGAAGAUUUUUGGUCUCCUCAGCAGCGGCUUUUCUUGCGGCGGCGGCGGCGGCGGCGGCAGCGGCAGCAAGAGAAGGAAAGGCAGCCCUAGCUAUGACUGCCGCAUGUUAAUAGCUCCCGCUUGGGUCCGCGGGCUGCAGCCAGAGACACAGCCUGACUCCGAAGUUGUGCAACUGUGCCCUGGGAGAGACAUUUGAACCCUCCUUCUCUUUGCUCCGCUUUUGCCCCCUGGGGCGUGUGAAGCGAGGAAACCUAAAGGAAGACUAACGUUUGGCUUUCCCGGCUUCCCCUUUCUCCAUGGCUGUGUAGAAGAAGAAAGGAAAGAGACACUUUUUGUUGUUUCUUUGACUGGGGUCUCCACCCUCCUGCCGUCUCUGCGUUUUGAUUAUAAUUCUUUGCUUGGUGUAGCUGGGGUGUCUACACUGGGGCCGGUCCAGCCUUUUUUUUUUUUUUUCCUUUCUUUUUCUUUCUUUCUUUUUUCUUUUUUUGCCCCGGGGCUCAAUGGAUGGAUUGUGGAGAACUGCACUGGGUUGCAGGUUGUUGAGCAACUGAUGGGACCAUCUCAGGGACCGGCGGUUACGAAAGAUGCUGAUUUGAAGAACUGCCCUGAAAACUGGGCUUGGCAUUGGAUCUGGAGUGCAGUCUGAGCUACAGAGUGAGGUUCUCACUGAAGAAACUCCAAAAUAAAACAAGACAAAAAGGAAAAUGGAAAAGAAAUGGAAAAUCAAUGUUACAG